AAAUACUGCAUCCUCCUCCUCCUCAUCACCAUCAUCAUCAUCAUCACCGCUGCUCCAGUCUCCACCGCUAUGAUACUGUAUCUAAUCUCACCAGCUCUAAUAAUCUGUGUUAGUAUGUUAGUUAACGGUCAAACCGAGGACUCCAGACUCACCGACAGAGCUUAUGUGGUCUUAAAGAACCAGAACCUGGUCACACUGGGGAGUGUCUUCGGUGUCCUCCUGCUGCUCAUGAUCAUCAUGGCUGUCUGUGUCUACAAACCACUGACUCGGCGCUGAAAGUCUCCAAAAACCUGGAGAUCAGACCCACACAAAGAGCUGCUGUCCACCCGAUCAAGUGACAGCCCCGGGCCCGACACUGACCCCUGCUGGGACCAGACCUGCAGAACCCCGACCUCUUAGAAGACACUGAAAACACCCACAAUGCACUGGCCGAUUUAUCAUUUAUUGUGAUUAUUUACACUACAGGCCAAAAAUGUGUAAGUUCACAAUAUGUAUCUUAAAAAACAGUAUGAAUGUGAUGGAUUUUGAGAUGUAGUUACUGUAUGAUCAGACUUUAGUUUCAUUGAUAUGCACGAUUCUCCUCAAUUUACCUUCAGAAAUGUCAACAGGCCAUUGCUGAGUAAAGGUUAACAAAAGAAAAGAAGGUAGUUACAACUUGUUCUUUGGCUUUUGAGAGUUUGCAUCCAAAAAUCCCAAUCAAUCUCAACUGUGUCUAUAUCUCUGAAAACUACCACAGAAAUGACAAGAAAGAAACAGCUGAGUAAAGAAACAAAAGUGCAGAUUUUUACAUUGAAGAAAGAAGGAUACAUGGAAAGAGCCUAAUGGUAUCCAACAAAGGAGUUCACCACAGACUGAAGACACUAGAAGAAACGGGAAGUUAUGAUGAUUAGGAAAAGUCUGGAAGAAAGAGAGUGAUAACAAAAGAAGAGGACAAACAUCUAAGAGACAUGCUGAAAAACAGCACUACAAAUAAGGGAGGGAAUUAACAUGACAAGAUCAGCUGUGAAAAGAUGUGACAAAGGCUGGUGUGAAGGGUUGUGUAUCAGGAAAAAAACAACAAUACUACAACGAAAAGAACAAGAAAAAGAGAUGACUGGACAAAGGCACAAAAAAAUUGAACCUAUGAUGACUGGAAACAAGUUCUGUGGAGUCUGUCUGCAGAUAAACUGGUGCACGUCUGAAAGCUGCAUUCGUAAAACUCCCACAGUAAAGUAAUAAUGAAGGAACAGGAUCAUCCAGCAUCAUGCAGUUUCAUCUGGGCAAACACUUAUGGGUUAAAAGUUGGUUUUGCAGCAAGAUAAUGACUCUAAACAUUUUUCCAAGCUCUGUCAUGGUUACCAAGACAAAACAAAAAGAAGAUAAAGAAGCUGUUCAAAAGAUGGUUUGAUUCCGUUGGUCUCCAGACUUCUCUCCAGUUGAGCUUGUGUGGUACGAAUAGGAUUGAUCCGUCAGAAAAGUGCAUCCCAUGAAUGAGCAGUGUCUCACUGAUUAAUUAAACAAACUGUGUAAAGCCUUACAUAUGUCAUACUUUUGUUAAAGCCAGAAGAGGCUACUUUAUAAAACACAGUCAAACAAUUACAAUAAUUCUUGCCAAAAUGUAUUAAGAUGAGUGACUGUUAAUAAUAAUAAUCUUGUUCAUGUUGUUGCAAAGUAUACCAAUGAAACUAUUGAUUUUUUUUUUGUUCAAAUUUGAUCUUAUUCCAAACUUUUGGCCUGUAGUGUAUAAGAUUUUCUAGUUUUUUUUGUGUCAGCCUUUUAUGCCUACAUUUUCUGUUGUUAUUGGUAUUCAGAAACAAAAACAAUCACUUUAUGACCUUUAAUGCUGGAUUAAUGAAUACAGAUAAUUAAGUGAUCAUUGUUUUUAUUUACAUGAUAUACCAGGGUUUAAUGCCACAUCAGAUUAUAUUUUUAUUAAUUCAAUUGUAAUUUGAAGGAAAUGCUGCAUUUGUUAAUUUAAAAGCCAUACUGACUGUAUUAUGAGAUGUUUUAAAGUGAAUUUUCAAUAAACCUUCAAACCCUGUGAGGGUUAAAAUGGUAA